GACAAGGUAGUUCAAAGCGUGGGCAGUUGGUGGACGCAUCAAAAAGAAGCGCAUGUGCAGAAGGUUGGGCUGAUAACCCAGAGAUGAUGGUUCGAAUCCAUCCCUUGUCG
rnacentral:tRNA from 1 species